CUCUUUUUCUUAAUGUGGCAACGUCUGGUUCCAGAAGUUAGGUUGUACGCUUGUCCAUCAGAAGUGAGAGUUUGCAGUCAGCACCUGGGAGGGUGGUCCUCUCCAGGCCCGAGCAUCCACGGGCCUCUGAGCCGGCUGCGGGGCUGUGGGGACGAGAGGCACAGACAGCGGUCUUGGACGUCAGCAAGGCGCUCCUGGUAGCCUCUCGAAUACGACGGAGUAUGCAGGUUGGGGGUGAGGGCAGUUGGGAUUAGUGAUGGUUCGACUGGCCACAAACAUGCAGGGACUAAGUUGGAGGGAGGUGUACAGGUGGUGCUGUGGGAGACAUGCCUUCAGGGAGACAGACAGUCCAUGGAAUGUAUCUUGGAAUCGGAUGGACAUGUUGAAAGGUUUAAAAAUAUGGAUAUAAAUAUUACUUUUCCUGGGAAUCUGUAAAGGUAUCAAUUCCCACAAAUUAAAGUAUCACACCGUCCUAAUCUAAGUCCCAGUGACUCUAUUCUGGGGCCAAAACAGUGAUAAAGCUUAGAAUAAACAUGGGAAGGCAGCCAGGAAAUGUUGAAGAAGGUUGGUGAGGAGGAGGGGAGAGGUUUCGAGACAGACUAUCAGACAUUCAGGUGGAUUGUGAAUACUACACGUGAGGCCUGCGGUGCUGACCCAGGAGAAGGCGGCAGAUUGACGGCCAGAGCCUGCCCAGUGCACGGAGGAGUCGCUUUGCGACUCACAUCUCAGGUUUCGGGGGUGAAUGAGGAUAAAGGAAGGUCUGAGAAUAAAGGAAGGUCUCUCCCACAAUCAAUUUCAAAUGUAUUAUAGAGUCAAAUAUUAAAAACUCCAUUAAGAUGUUAGAAGAAAAGGUAGAAUAAUUUUAUAUAUUUAAUUAUUUAAAUUCUUUAUUGUUUAAAGCAUUACAUAAGUCUCCUUUUUCCCCUCAUUGACCUCUCCCCAGCCUCCCUCACCCCCCAGCUCAGGCCCUCCCCCCUCCCCCUCCCCCGUGUAUGUCCAUUGGUUAUGCUCAUAUGCAUGCAUGCAAGUCCUUUGGUUGAUCUCUUACCCCCACUCCCACCCUCCUCUGCCUCCCCUCUGAAGAUUGACGGUUUGUUAGAUGCUUCUCUGUCUCUGGCUCUAUUUUUGUUCAUCAGUUUAUGUUGUUCACUAUAUUCUACAUAUGAGUGAGAUCAUGUGAUAUUUAUCUUUCUCCGACUGGCUUAUUUCGCUUAGCAUAAUGCUCUCCAGUUCCAUCCAUGCUGUUGCAAAUGGUAAGAGUUCCUUCUUUUUUACAGCAGCAUAGUAUUCCAUCGUGUAGAUGUACCACAGUUUUCUAAUCCAUUCAUCUACUGAUGGGCACUUGGGCUGUUUCCAAAUCUUAGCUAUGGUAAAUGGUGCUGCUAUGAACAUAGGGGUAAGAGGGUUUCUUUUUUUCCACAUCCUCUCCAGCACUUGUUGUUUGUUGAUUAGAAUAAUUUUAUAAUAUUGACAUGAAGAGAAGGUCUUUCUGACAAAAACAAAAUUAGAUGACAUAAAUUUAAAAAGAAGGCUUGCCACAGAGACAUGCCAGAUCCCUGGUUGGAGAUUUUCUGUUAUAAAGAUGUCCUUUCUCUCAAAAUUUAUCUGCAGUGUGAACCUGGAAGGGGUGUCAGCCCAUUUGACCUCAGAAAUGAGCAGCCAAACUCCAGGCCUCAGUUCCAGGCUUGAGGGCUCCAUCACCACUUCUCGUUUUAGUGUCAUGUCACAUUAUAUAUAGACUAGAGGCCCGGUGCAUGCAUGGGGCGGGGGGUGUCCCUGCAGCCCAGCCUGCACCCUCUCAGCCCAGUCGGUACCCCUUGGGGGCAGUCGGACAUCCCUCUCACAAUCCUGGACCGCUGGCUCCUAAUCACUCACCUGCCUGCUGGCCAGAUUGCCCCUAACUGCCCCCCCACUGCUGGCCUAGUCGCCCCCAACUGCCCCACCACCACCACCAGCCUGGUUGCCCCAUGCAGCCUGCUGUUCAGUCGUUUGGUCGUCCCUCACGAACCCCCCUGCCGGCCUGGUUGUAGGCAGCCAUCUUGUAAGGGUGUGAGGGUUAAUUUGCAUAUUACCUCUUUAUUAUAUAGGAUUUUUAAUAUAUAUAUUUUUUAUUGAUUUCAGAGAGGAAGGGAGAGGGACAGAGCGAUAGAAAAAUCCAUGAAGAGAGAGAAUCAUGGAUCGGCUGCCUCCUGCACGCCCCCCAUUGGGGAUUGAGCCCACACCCGGGGCCUGUGCCCUGACUGGGAAUCGAACCGUGACCUCCUGGUUCACAGGUCGGUGCUCAUCCACUGGGCCCUGCCAGCCAGGCUCAUGUCCCAUUAUAAAAGCAAACCCCUUAGAGUAGUUAUGUUUGCUGGUAGCUAGGAACUAUGAUUGGUGCCCUGACUUUCAUGAGUGUGCUGGUCUCCAGUCACUCUUCUCCACGCCCCCAGGUCUGUGUCUGGAACCAAAUGGGACUGGGCUGCUGUGGGUCCAGUUCCUAGAGCAGCGGUUCUCAACCUGUGGGUCGCGACCCCUUUGGGGGUCGAACGACCCUUUCACAGGGGUUGCCUAAGACCAUCCUGCAUAUCAGAUAUUUACAUGAUGAUUCAUAACAGCAGCAACAUUACAGUUAUGAAGUAGCAACGAAAAUAAUUUUAUGGUUGGGUCACAACAUGAGGAACUGUAUUUAAAGGGCCAGAAGGUUGAGAACCACUGUCCUAGAGGCAUCAGAAACCACUUAUUAAUCUGUCCUCCCACCCUUUUCAUUGUAGCAAAAUCAAGACAUACUUUUAAAAGCUGCCUGAGUUAGGGAGAGUCACAGUGCAGCAGUAGCGUUCUUUGCAGUGCUUUCUUACCAGGCUCCUGUCUUGUGAGUUAAACUUUUUAAGGAAUAAGAGCCUUGAGAAUAGACUGUAGGGUGGUAUGGUUUGCACAAAGCUGAAAGGGCAGGACCAUUGUGAGUUAAAGAUCAUUUUCUAGCGUAAUCCUUCUCCCCCCCCUCCCCCCCCGUUUGGCACCCAUCUCCUACCCUCAGGGACCCCCCGAGACUUGCAGCCAGGGGAGCAAUGGGCAGCAGCAGCUUGUCCUGGGCCUGCUCCCUGAACCUGUCCCCAAGGCCCCUUUUCUCUCACUUCUCCGUGAGCCAGAGCAGCCCGCCUGGCUCUCCGUGGGGGCUGCCCUUCCGGCUUUAACAAACGCGCUCUCAGGCACCCACGCAUUUCCAAAGCGGCUCAGGGACUCCGAGGCUCACGGGUUGCAGCUCAGCGUUCAGGGUUUGGCCCGUGACAGCAGACAGGCUCUGAGUUCUGCGCUGUCGUUUCUGAAUAAUGUAAGCUGACCUCCACCUUCGUGCGGCGUUCAGAUGCUCUCUGUGGUUUAGACUUACAGUCCCUGGAGGUUAGUACUUGUCAUGGAAGGACACCCUUCACCCUGAGAUGAACACUUGGCAUGUGUACAGUGCACAGUGCUUCCUGCUGUUCCCAGGGCGGUGGGAGCAGGGACACAGAGGGGAUGGGAAACAAACCUUGUGCAAGUUUGUUUUUCUAACAGGACGAGGGGAGUCGAUUCCAAACCCCCAGGUAGUGAGCUGCCCACUGUGGGCAGGGCGUGGGAGGCACGGCUGAUGGAUGGGAUCACCUCCGAGAGGCCAUGACCUGGCCGUGCUGUCCCCUCCAGCUCCACUCCUUUCCUUGGUAGAAGGCUCCUUUUCACCGAAUCCUGUGCUCCUUUUAGGGCAAAUAGUGCAAGGACACAGCGGGCAGCCUGCAGCGCGGCCUCCGGGCCUCCUAGCCGUGGGAACGAGCCCUCGCUCCUGCCUUCAGCCGCUGGCAGGUCGCGCUGGCUGUGCUGACUUAAGGAAAAGUUACCUCUUCUGAUUUGCUUUCAUCUAUACUUAGCAUAGACUCUUCAAACCGGGGACACAUUUUUCAAAACACUUGGAAGCAGCUGGAACGUGAGUGAACAGGCAGAGCGUGCAGUCCCUUCAGCUACUCUGUUGUGAUCCUUCUGAGGCUCUUUGUGUCAGCGGAACCCUGACUUCAGAUUAGUUCUCUCACAGUUGUCUCCUGACUCCCCAGCCUGGAGCCAUGGACAGAAGGUCCAAUAGCUGGUUUACAAACUUUCUUAAAGAAUAGAACCUCUUCAGACAAAGCCUAGCAUGGGACACACAUCAGUGGGGCGGGCCUUUCUGCCUGAAGUCGGAGUGGGAGCCAGCGACCUGCCUGCUGCCCCUGCCUCCCCGUGACAUCCCUCAAAACAAGGAGUAUGCUGUUUCCAUGAAUGAAAAUGGGGGG